AGGUGAAAACCUUUUUUUGAUUGGCUGAGGGCAGGGUAUCAAAUCUGAAUUUGCAUUUCACUUGCUUAAAGGGGAGGGGGGGAGAAGCCCAGCAGCUUUCUAAAAUCUGUUUAGGGGUGUGCGUAUGCUCCUGUGUCUGUGCCUGCUUUUGACUGACCAGGUGAAGCCUCUUCCUAUGCCUUUUUUAUUUCAAGCACUCAGAGGAAGAGGAGCUCCGGGUUCCCCAAACUUUUUUUUUUUUUUUUGGAGUAGGAAGGGUUGGAGAGAUGGGUGCGCAGAGGGUUGACCAAACUGGAAGGAAGUAUUUGUCCUUUAGUUUGGUGUCGGAAAAGGGAAUUUUCCAAUCAGCCACACCUCGGUGUUGCGGCACAAUCAUUCUUGGCUCCCCUGGAAACGCACGGGGCAAGGUAGGACAGAUCUGCUGCUGCUGACACUGCCACCACCAUGGGCUUCCUGCUGCCUCUGGGCUGCUCCCUGGGGACGACAGAUUUGCAUUGACGGGGCUGUCCAGAGCUGAGCCCAGUGUGGGAAAGACCUGCCUUCUGGAAGCUGCUGCUCCUUGGUCUUGGAAAGGUGAGGAUGGGGACUGACCCCAGGAUGUUGCUCAGAAACUGCGCAUUUGGUGGGAUUUCCGGGAGAGCCACUGGGCCGCAAGAGGUUUGGAGGUCCCAGGUUAGGAAGGUUUGUCAUUCUGGGGAGUGAGGAGAGUGAGAGCAAAACUAGGGCAGCAGGCUGUUCGCCUGUGGUUGGGGGAGGGAGACUUGGAAAAAUCAGGGUCCCGGCUCCCCAUCGAGUCCGUGUUGCAGGUCUCACGUUUGUGGGGAGGGGGUUUCAGAGCCCUGCGCCUUGCGCAGUGGCCCCCGCCCAUGACUGCGCAUCCGGGAGCGCAAUGCGCCCUGGGUCGCUGGCCUAGGACAGCACCGCCCUUCUUCUUACAUAACGGAGGCACGGCUGUGCCUUCUCGGCCUUUCUUUGCAACCCUGCCUCCUGGCUCCCCAGGGCCCAUGGAGCUGGGGAGGGUCUGGUUGGGGAGCAGGGGAAGACUUGGCUCCCUCGGAGGGUUAGCCCUCGUCCAGUCAGUGAUGGGAGUUGGGUUUGAAGACAGAAGUGGGCUGCUGUCCCCCUUGGGAGGUGGUACGCAGAAUGUCCUUCUCAAUGCCCUGUGUCACCCAUGGCCCCCAGGACCUCUCGGGGGCAUGGGGUGUGACGUCCGUUCUUUCCUUCUUAUGCUUUCUGGGUUUUGAGAGGAAGUUUCUGAAGGGAAAGACAUGACGAUUCUAAGAGUGAGGAAGGGUGUGUGUCGGGGGCCCAGUUGGGAGGUGGUUGACAGUUCACUCCCCUUGUCACUGGCUUCCCUUUCCUUGGGUGGGUUGAUAGUGUUUUUGACUCCUUUUAUCCUAAGGCUGCCAUUUUGGAGGCAUUUCUGCUGGUCUCUGACAUGGUGGCGUUGGUUUUUCUGGUCCUGCUGUGCCAGUUCCGCAGAGUGGGCGGGGGGCGGGGGCUGUGACGGAGGAGGGGAGGGGGGGCAGAAGCGCAGCAGAGGCGGGCCCAGUGGUGGCUGCCGCAGUGAAGGUGGCCCCAGGGGCAGGACCGCCCAGUCCCACCCUCGGACACAGUCUUGGGUGGGGGUUCCACCACCUGGGGCCCCGGCUUGGCCAGAGGGUGGGCAUUGCUAACAGAAGGCCUGGGUCUCCCAUGCCCUCGUUGGCCUGAGGCUUAAAGCAGUCCAGGGCAGAAGCUGAGUUUUUUUGGGGGGGGUGUGUGUGUGGAGGGGGCGACUGAAGGCAGAGACCUGGCUGCUCAUCUCAGACGUGUCGGACCUGUGGUUUGUGUUCCCCAAAUAGGCUCUGUCUCCGACAGUUUCUCUAUGGGGACAAGGGGGUGGGGUCCAAGGCAGCUUUGAGGAUUUGUUCGAUGGCCCUCCCUUCUCAUUGUUUUUCUUUUCUGCUCCUCGUCAUGCCCCCUGCCAGUGCCAUGGUUCCAGCUGUAGUCCUCCGGUGAGGCUCCCUGCUGCCCGUCCCUCUCCUUUCCAGGCCCUUCUGCGUGCAGCGGCCAUCUUGUCUUUUCUUGCUUAGAGGUUUAAAAUGGUUUCUCAUCAUUUCCAGAGUACAAUUCCUUCCCUUUGGCACAGUGCUGAGGACUGUCUGUAACUAGCCUUAGCUCUCCUCUGCAGUCUUACUCUUCUGCGUUUCCCCAGGUGGACCACGUAUUCCAACAAAGCCAGGCAACUCACUUUUUCUUGCUUUUCCUAUCUCUCGGUUUUCCCUACUGGUAUUUUCCAUGCCUCCUUGGCUCCACCGCACCCACCUGCGGCAGCCCCACCGUCCUCCUUGGACCUUUCCCGAUCACCUUCACAAGCAGCAGUCCUCGUAACCUCUCCUUGCUCCCUCCGGCCAAGCUCUCGUACACUUUGUCCCUCUCGUGUGCUACUUCGGUGGCCUUACGGCUCUUGGUGUAGAAGUCUUGGGUCACCUACGAGAUGAUGAGCUGCAAGACGCUGAGAGUCAAGGAAGGAAGACACUUAACCUAUUUGGUGCCUUCUGUUCGCCAGGUGCCACGUCAGGCUGUUCCACGGACCUUCUUUCAUUUACUGCUUUCCACAACCCUCCGAGGAGAGUCCCGUGACUGGUAAGUGUUCUGAUCAUGAUUAGAACCCCUGUUUCCCCAAACCUUUGCCUUCUUCUUUACCUCUCAGUUCUCAGUGUCUGCCACGUGGCUCUUACAAGGUAGAUCCCCAGAACGUGCCUGUUUAAGGAAUUUCAUACACCUCUAAUGCCAUAUGGGAGUUUGGGUGGCCGCUCUUCCUGUGCCCGAGGUCUGGGUCUCGUAGCUGUUCCACGCUCCCCUGGACCCUGCUACCUCGUUAACUUUCUCCUCUUCCUUUGCGGUCAGGUUCACUCAAGAUGAUGGCUUUUUUUUUUUUUUGUAGCUGAAAUUUUGUUGGAUUAACAAACCUCAGUUAUCCUACUUACCUUCCUCCUGGAAGAGAAGGUGGAGGUGGGAUGGUUGUAGUACCUUCAGAGCAGAGUGAGCUCCAGAACCCAGGAUCAGUGGAGAUCGGACAAGGCAGGGAGCAGGACCAUUGCACUUGGAUCUUGACCCUGCCUCAUCUUGUUAGGUGGUUUUUCUGAGGCUUAGUGACCUCAGUCAGUGACAUGGAGCCACUGUAAUCUACAGUGAAAUGCCUAAUAUAUUGCCAAGCAAACAGGCUCCUGACAGAAAGUGGUGCACCUCCCUUUCCCCUGCCCAGCUGUUUUAUCGGGGACUUAAGAAGAGUACGUAGCAGGUGGCUGGAGAAGGAAUGGGGGGAAGGGAGCUUGCCAGCCUUCAGUGAUACCAGAGGCAGGGGAGGAGGUGACCGGGCAUUGCACACCUGAAGCCUGCGAGGAAGUGCUUUUCCCUGACCUGGAGUAAAGACCCCCUUAACUUCUGCAUCGGGAAAACGCUGUGGGACCAGAGCCGUGAGGUCAGGGUGGGUGGUGGCAGCGUGAGGGUUAACCAGUGAUCCUUCCUGGGAGCCUCGUGACGCCAGGUUAGCUUCCCCUCUUUCCGAAUCGAAUCGCAGCAGUGGCUGCCUGCUUCCUGACGCUGCUGCAUCCCGUGGGAGGGGAGUUGGGCACCCUGAAGCCCCUCGUCACCGAUUCCGGGGCUGCAGAGCAGAGAGUGACGACAGCCCAUGAGUCGUCAGCCGACGGCAAUGGGGACCCUGGUGACGGCUGCUUUGUUGUGUUUUUCCUCUUUGGAUGAUGACUCAGUGUGUCGGGAGCUGGGAGAUGGGGCACUCAGCCGAAUGGCCAGGACGUUCUGUCAACAUGAAAGCAGCAAAAACAGCUUAUCGGGGCUCAGAGCCGACCCUUAGGCUGGGUUCAUUUUCGGGAAGGGCUUGGCAGAGAAGAGCACUUCUGGACAUCGGGGGUGGGGAGACAAGGCCAGGUAACCCAACAGGGGUCUGUGGACCCUUCAGUUUCAGAAACCAAAAAGAAAAUGCAGCUGCUUGUGUUAUUAGAUAAGCUUGGCAAACGGUCAUUUUACAAGCUCCUCUCACCCGUCCCAAACAAGAGACAUCUUCUCAGGGCCAGAAAACCCUCCGGGAUUUCUCACCAUGGCUCAUUGUCAUAGAUGGAGGGUGAGCCCGUCUCGGGUAGGGUGGGCCUGGGAGUCCUUAGUGAUCACUGGCAUUCCGGGGCCCCGGAAGCAAGAGCCCAUGGUGGGGACGUGGCGUCUCAGGUGACCUCUGCUGGCAUCACACCAGCAGACGGUGUCACCCACCAGAAGAUGGUGGGUCCACGUCACCGGCCUCAAGCCGAAGGCCAGCUCUGGCGCAGCCUACUUCAGCCUCCCCUUUCCUUAUUGUCCCGAGUCAAACUUACCUUCUCGCCUUUCAUCGUCCUCAAUUCCUUCUUAGGUGAAAUAGUGGGCCUUGAGUCCUUGACCUUUGUGUGUGUGUGUGUGUGUGUGCGUCAUCAUGGCGGCUCAGGGUUCUAGACUUUUCUUGAAUCUGCAGCAUUGCGCUAAGGGCGCGUGACAUUCCCCCCCGCCCCGCCCGCCCGGCCCCGCCCAACCAUGGCCAGCCAUGCCUUCUUGGGAGCAAGAGAGGCCUGGGCCUCCAUUGCCACUGAAUCUCAGGCAAACCACUAUCCUCAGCAUCUGGCUUCCCUUCUCUCCUCUGUCUCCCUCGGCCCUUGUCUGGGGACAGAGGAGCAAACAACUUGUGGGUGGGGAAUUGAGGACGGCCUGGCCCAGGACCACCCUGCCUAUGUACCCCUUAGGCCAUUUUUCAGUCUCCUGCUUUCCCAUAGAUGAUGCUUAGCACUGACAUUUGUCGCCGAGCACCUCCUCCGCUCCCCAAGGACCUCCCAGUGUGACUCAUUUGGGAUCUCUGCAAGGAGUGGCUUUGGGGCCUUGGGAGCCAGGGGGAGCAGGAAGACCUGGUGGAGGUCACAGUGGAGAGGUACGCAGGGCAAAGGACGAGAGCCGGCUGUCCCUGGCCCAGAAUGCAAAGGCAGCCCCAGCCCCUUUGUGUCAUGUCAUUUUGAGCCUGAAUAGAGAGCAACUUGACCUAAAAAAAAAAUCGUAUAUAUGUGGAUGUUAGAUCCUUUGUGUCUCUUUGUCCAGAAGCUGCGCAUAUGACGAGGGCUCAGAUUCUGUACUUCAGAGAGCUCUGCUGUCCCUCAGGUUUGUUUUCCGAAGGAGGUGGUAGUUCCUCUUUGAUGAGACCCUGUGCCCACGGGGACUGGACUUUUCUCCAGGACAAGGGGCACAGCCUUGUCUUGUUGCUAUCAUUGGAUAGUGAGCAGCAGCUGAAGACCAUGGUCCCGGGGCCACAUAUUAGCCCCAGAUGGAACCCUGAUUGGGGCUUGCAGAAUUCAUUGCUUGGCUGGCUGGCCCCAAGAGCUGAGCCUACCUGGCUUCCUUUCACUUCUUCCCCACUGAGAACUCAGAGGAGUUGAGCUCCAUGAGUCGGUGACAGCCUCUUGGAGACUCAGGCUAAGCUGGGGACAGAGCUGGUGUGCAGAAGACAGCCAUCAUACCGCCUAAUAGAAUGGCUUGCAUUUAUUUGGAACGAAAAAAGGAGAUGCCUGGCAGCCUGGCUUUCUGCAGCUAAGUAUUCGUCUGCAUUCUGGUUUUCCGUCACACAUCGGAAGCGAUAGAUGUUCAUUGAACCCACCCAGCUGCCGUGACUUCUCCUUUCCCCGCGCACCCCUGCCCCUGAUCCUCCAGCAGAGAUUGGAUUUUCUGGUGCGGCUGGAGAGCUGCAGAGAGGCUAGAUCCCAGUGUCCAGCCCCCGCACAUCGCCCUCACAUUCAGGAGAAGUCGAUUUUCCCUAAAGCGGAGCCUAAAGCCCAUGUCCCUCAGUGCGGUGUUAUUAAUGGGCCGACGGGAAGGGCCCUGCUUGCCCUCACUGCCCCCAGCGGGGAGGUGAGGCUCUCGGCUGGCUGGCUGGGGGAGGACGGUCCUUGCCAGCAUCUAGCAUGGUUCUCUGCCAAGUUCUAGCUCCAAAUCUCUAGGCCGCUAGGAACCUAGACUAUAUAUAGCAUUGUGCUAAGCAAUUCUUAUCGGACAUGUCUGCCCUCCCCUGCGGGAGAGGAGCCCUUCUCCCAGGGAACCGGAACCUAGAGAGUGUGAGCCUUCUCCAAGGGGUCUUUCGUUCCAGGAAGGGCUGUGUGUGUGUGUGUGUGUGUGUGCGCGCGCGCGCGCGUGGCUGUGUCUGCUUCAGGGCUGCCAAGCUUUCUUUCCUUUUCCCUGUUUCAGAUGCUGCGAGAUCGGAAGGUCUGAUUGGGAUGAGGGCCAGGAGGUUCUUGAUGGUGUGCGAUGUGGCCUAUGGCGUCCACCAGCCUCCCGCAUGUCUUCUUGGUUUCCUGUUUGCCUUCUUUGCCCAAGGAGGUCUUCUGACCUCUUGAGCUUCUUUUGGAUCUCCUGUCUUCCCUGCCCUCCUCUACCUCUUCCUCCUCCUUCCUUUGAUUCUCUUUCGGGUAUGUGACGGCAGACUGGGCUACGGGCAUCCGGGAGCUGUGUCUGCUCGCCGCCCU
rnacentral:lncRNA from 1 species